rnacentral:rRNA from 1 species
UGGGGAAUAUUGGGCAAUGGGGGAAACCCUGACCCAGCGACGCCGCGUGAGCGAAGAAGGCCCUCGGGUCGUAAAGCUCUGUCAGGAGGAAAGAACGUGUCUGCGGUUAAUACCCGUGGGCAUUGACGGUACCUCCAGAGGAAGCACCGGCCAACUCCGUGCCAGCAGCCGCGGUAAUACGGAGGGUGCGAGCGUUGUUCGGAAUCACUGGGCGUAAAGCGGGUGUAGGCGGUUUGGUAAGUCCGAUGUGAAAGCCCUGGGCUCAACUCAGGAAGUGCAUUGGAUACUGCCUCGCUUGAGUACGGGAGAGGAGAGCGGAAUUCCUAGUGUAGAGGUGAAAUUCGUAGAUACUAGGAGGAACACCGGUGGCGAAGGCGGCUCUCUGGACCGAUACUGACGCUGAGACCCGAAAGCGUGGGGAGCAAACA